rnacentral:rRNA from 1 species
AUGACGGCACGGUGGCUGUUCUUGUUUCUUCUCGGUGUCGCCGGCAGCGCGGUUCUUCAAGUCCAUGGGCAGGCCGAUAGCUUAGGUUUCAUAAGCAUAGACUGCGGUCUUCCGGGGAAAACGGGCUACAUAGACAGCACCACCAAGCUCUCCUACGCCACAGACGCCGGCUUCACUAACACCGGCACCAACCACAACAUCUCGGCCGAGUAUGUCACACCGACGACGGGCAAGAUCUGGCGCAGCGUGCGCAGCUUCCCCGAUGGCCUGCGAAACUGCUACACACUCCGCUCCCUCGUGCCGGGGCUCAAGUAUCUCAUCCGGGCGCUAUUCAAGCACGGCAACUACGACGGGCGCCUCAACAGGUGGCCCAUCUUCGACAUCCACAUAGGCGUCAACUAUUGGCAGACCGUGAACAUCACAGACGGUGACAUGCCUGUAAUCGCCGAGAUCAUCACCGUCAUCUCUGGUGACUCCGUUCAAGUGUGCCUCGUCAACACUGGCUCUGGGACGCCGUUCAUCUCCAGCCUCGAGCUGAGGCCUCUCAAGAACAAGCUCUACCCACAAUCAGAUAUGUCUCAGGCGCUGGUUCUUGCCACCAGGGCCAAUGUCGGCGCAAGCGCGAACCUUAGGUACCCAGACGAUCCACACGACCGUAUAUGGAUCUCAUUGAACGUGCCAUCCUGGAUGGCGAUCUCAACCACUAAGGAGGUGCAGAACAGUGUCAUUGACUUUUUUGAGGUGCCGUCGACCGUGACACAGACCGGAGUCACGUCCAUCAACUCCUCCACGCCCAUCAUUUUCUUCUGGGACGUAACCAGCGCCAAAGAUUCAAUGCCCGGGUAUGUUUUCAUGUUAUACAUGGCAGAGCUGCAACACCUUCCCAGCAACGCCCUCCGCCAAUUCUACGUCAAGCUCAAUGACAAGCCCUGGGACACGAAACCUCGCGGCCUGAAGUACCUCGAGACGACCGUACUCUAUAACGAAAAACCCGACUAUGCCUCCCAACAAUACAUCUUCUCAUUGGAGGCCACAACCAACUCCACGCUCCCGCCAAUCCUCAACGCUUUGGAGAUCUUUUCGGUCGUCCCCACCACUGGCUUAGCCACCACCACUCAGGAAAUUUCUGCCAUGACAACCAUCAGAGACAUGUACCAGGUGAAAAAGAACUGGAUGGGUGAUCCGUGCGCCCCCAAGAAUUUUGCGUGGAAUGGAUUGCAUUGUGGCUAUGCUGUUUCUAGGCCACCAACUAUCACAGGCUUGAAUUUAUCUUCCAGUGGUCUGAGUGGCAACAUCUCAUCUUCUUUCGCAAGUCUCAAAGGUUUACAAUACUUGGAUUUGUCAGGUAACAAUCUGAUGGGCUCCAUUCCCGACACCCUUUCGCAGUUGUCGUCCCUCACACUUCUAGAUUUGACAGGCAAUCAACUCACUGGAUCAAUUCCUUCCGGGCUGCUGAAGAGAACUCAAGAUGACUCCCUAACACUUAGAUAUGGUAAUAAUCCAAACCUUUGCAGUAAUGGCAACUCAUGUCAGCCUCCGAAAAAGAAGCCCAGAUCUAUGGUUGUUGUCCAUAUAGUUGUUCCCAUAUUUGUAGUACUGAUAAUUGUGCUUCUGUCUAUACUACUCCUUUGCAUGCGAAAGAGAAGGCAAGGAACAACAACAAAUAGUGUCAGGCCACAGAACGAGUCUAUUGACAACUAUGGACACACCUCGUUGCGACUCGAAAGUCGCCGAUUUACGUACAGUGAAUUAGAGGUCAUCACGAAUGGCUUCCAACGAGUGGUGGGCCGAGGAGGAUUUGGGAAAGUCUAUGAUGGCUUCUUGGAGGAUGGCACCCAAGUGGCUGUCAAACUGCGGUCUGAAUCUUCCAACCAAGGCGUACAAGAAUUCCUCGCAGAGGCUCAGAGCUUGGCUAAAAUUCAUCAUAAGAAUCUUGUGUCAAUGUUUGGCUACUGCAAGGAGAGAGAGUACAUGGCUCUUGUGUACGAGUACAUGUCUGAAGGAGCCCUGGACGAACAUCUUAGAGGUAAAGACAACAACACUAGAACUUUAUCCUGGAGACAGAGACUUCUAAUUGCCCUAGAAUCUGCACAAGGGCUUGAGUAUCUGCACAAGGGGUGCAAUCCACCCCUCAUUCACAGGGACGUGAAGACGUCCAACAUUUUGCUAAAUACAAAUUUGGAGGCAAAAAUCGCCGAUUUCGGAUUGCUCAAGGCUUUCAAUAACGACAGUGAUACCCAUGUUUCCACGGCCAGGGUGGUUGGCACACCCGGCUAUGUUGACCCCGAGUACUACGCCACGUUUCAGCUGACCAGCAAGAGUGACGUGUUUAGCUUCGGUGUAGUGCUACUGGAAAUAGUCACAGGGCAACCAUCCAUCCCAAAUGACCCUGAGCCGACGAGUAUCAUCCAGUGGGCACGUCAACGCCUUGCCCGUGGCAAUAUUGAGGCCGUAGUGGACAUACACAUGCACGGUGACCACGACGUAAACAGCGUAUGGAAAGUUGCGGAUACUGCCCUGAAAUGCACCGCACAGGCGCCGGAGCAACGACCCACAAUGACUGACGUCGUGGCUUUGCUGCAUGAGUGCCUUGAGCUUGAGGAUGCGCGUAACCACAUGAAUGCAAGGUUCUACACUGCCGGGAGCGACACUAACUUGAACAAUUAUAGUCAAUACGACACUGGCAUGUCCACGGAUGUGAGCCAAAGCAGGACUGCAUUAGAGGCGGAGCAUUUCGAUAGAGUACCAAGAAUGUCUGAUGGUCCAGCUGUGAGGUGA